rnacentral:lncRNA from 1 species
CCACAUAAAAAAUGGCUAGACUUUGGAAAACACAUAUAAUUUACUUUGUUUUUGUUAGUAGAAAUAUCAAGGGGGUCUGAGUUAACAGCAGAGCAUCAUAACCAUUUUUCUUUAGCAUUUUCUAAGCUAUUAUGUAUUUUCUUUCUUCUUUUAAAGAUUCAACUAUGUCUAAAGAAGAAUAGGUCCUUUCGUAGUUUGCUAAAUGAAGUACAGCUCCAACUUUGCCAGACCACAAUCUAUCAAGAAUUUGAAGCUGAAAGUAUGAUUCCAAGACAAGGCCAUGUACCACUUGAAUGCUACUUGAUUCCUGCUGGACAUUUUAAAGGUCAUGUCAAGUAA